AACGUAGGGGGCGAGCGUUGCCCGGAUUCACUGGGCGUAAAGCGGGUGUAGGCGGUUCAUUAAGUCGGAUGUGAAAUCCUGCGGCCCAACCGCGGAACUGCAUCCGAUACUGGUGAACUUGAGGACGGUAGAGGUCGGUGGAAUUCCAGGUGUACCGGUGAAAUGGGCAGAUAUCUGGAGGAACACCAGUGGCGAAGGCGGCCGACUGGGCCGAUCCUGACGCUGAGACCCGAAAGCCAGGGUAGCGAACCGG
rnacentral:rRNA from 1 species